AGGGGCAGCAUGGUCUUAGCUUGCUAAGACUGAUGGCGACCGGCGCACGGGUGAGUAACACGUAUCCAACCUGCCGUCUACUCUUGGACAGCCUUCUGAAAGGAAGAUUAAUACAAGAUGGCAUCAUGAGUCCGCAUGUUCACACGAUUAAAGGUAUUCCGGUAGACGAUGGGGAUGCGUUCCAUUAGAUAGUAGGCGGGGUAACGGCCCACCUAGUCUUCGAUGGAUAGGGGUUCUGAGAGGAAGGUCCCCCACAUUGGAACUGAGACACGGUCCAAACUCCUACGGGAGGCAGCAGUGAGGAAUAUUGGUCAAUGGGCGAGAGCCUGAACCAGCCAAGUAGCGUGAAGGAUGACUGCCCUAUGGGUUGUAAACUUCUUUUAUAAAGGAAUAAAGUCGGGUAUGUAUACCCGUUUGCAUGUACUUUAUGAAUAAGGAUCGGCUAACUCCGUGCCAGCAGCCGCGGUAAUACGGAGGAUCCGAGCGUUAUCCGGAUUUAUUGGGUUUAAAGGGAGCGUAGAUGGAUGUUUAAGUCAGUUGUGAAAGUUUGCGGCUCAACCGUAAAAUUGCAGUUGAUACUGGAUAUCUUGAGUGCAGUUGAGGCAGGCGGAAUUCGUGGUGUAGCGGUGAAAUGC
rnacentral:rRNA from 1 species